UUUCCAGUAGCACCUUAGAGACCAACUAAGUUUGUUAUUGGUAUGAGCUUUCGUGUGCAUGCACACUUCUUCAGAUACACUUAGUUGGUCUCUAAGGUGCUACUGGAAA